rnacentral:rRNA from 1 species
UGCCAGCAGCCGCGGUAAUACGGAGGGUGCAAGCGUUACUCGGAAUCACUGGGCGUAAAGCGCGCGCAGGCGGCCUUGUAAGUUGGAUGUGAAAGCCUACGGCUCAACCGUAGAACUGCAUCCAAAACUACUCGGCUAGAGUGUGGGAGGGGAAGAUGGAAUUAGUUGUGUAGGGGUAAAAUCCGUAGAGAUAACUAGGAAUACCAAAAGCGAAGGCAAUUUUCUGGAACAGUACUGACGCUCAGAUGCGAAAGCGUGGGUAGCAAACAGGAUUAGAUACCCUGGUAGUCCACGCCCUAAACGAUGAAUGUUAGUCGUCGGGAGGCUCGUCCUUUCGGUGAUGCAGUUAACACAUUAAACAUUCCGCCUGGGGAGUACGGUCGCAAGAUUAAAACUCAAAUGAAUUGGCGG